GGGGAGGGAAGCAGCUGAAUCGGGGGAAGUGGAGCACCGAGUGAGGUUGUGGGUACUUCUUCCUGGAGGCAUUCUCCUUCUGCAAAUCCAACGCCUGCCACCCAGAAACAGCAACAACCGGUUAGACAGGGGGGCAGAUUUACCCCCGGUUCUGGUCAGUGUGCAGACGCCCGACAGUGAGUGAGAGAUGGGAGACAGGAACCCGGUUCCCACGGCUCAGCUGUCCCUCAGAAGGGGUGCCCCUCAAGCCCUGGCUGGGAUUCUGCAAACCCACUGUCUACCUUCACGCCUGGGUGAGGUGCGGCUCCACUGCAUGGAUCGGAGGCUAAAAGAGGUGGUCAGCUCUUCAGUGUCCACUGGACCCCUGCCCGGCACCAGGCUGCAGUGAGUGCUGGGUUCAUGAGAGGAUCAAGUCUCAUUUUAAAGAGAACAGAAGAGCACAGUUGAGAAGAUGGCUCUUGAGAUGACUCUUGAAGGAGAGACGACUGCAACAAAUCCCUCAGAUAGUCGACUCUGAAAGACCCCGAGUCCCAAAGGUGACCCAGUCUCAGCACUCUGCCUCAAAGGGGCUCACGCAUUGCCAAGGGAGCAGGACCAGACACCAAGCACCAGAACUGCAGGCGGCACCUGCUGUAACAGAACGGGGCCCGGUGCCACAGAUUAAAAAAGACGAGAGUCCUUCCGUCUGGGAAGCACAGGGGAUGCGCUACAGGAGGGGGCAUUUGAAAUGCCUAUGAAGGACUCGUUCAACGAAUACUACAGGUGGGUGGGAUAAGUAGAAUGAAUCGCCCCCUGAGGAUGUCCAUGUCCUGGAACCGCAGAAGCCGUUGUUCCGCGUCUUCCUCCGAAGCCCAAUAUAUAGAACAAAUAACAAAGGUGUCGGGCCUCUGAAGCCCCCUAUCAAAUCCCAGGAGGGUUUGUAGAGCUCACUCUGAAAACCAACACUUCGGGCCAACCCCUCACUUUACAGAAAGCAGAGGAAGUGAGCGCUCCCCAGAUGCUCAACCAAUGUCACCACUGGCCAGGAAGAAGAACAGCCACUGUCAGUGCCCACACCCAGCAGUGUCCGUCUUAUUUAUUUAUUUCAUCCUUGCCUGGAGACAUUUUUUUCCAUUGAU